CUGAAGAAAGACGGAACAAACGCUCUCGUUCUGGCGGUGAUGUCUCUUCUCCAACCGUUGUCAUCCCAAAUCAACCUGUUCCACUUCUUCUCAAUAAUUCAACCACUCGCACUUUACAACCCAAUCCAAACUCUUCUCAUGAUAUGAUUAUCUGUAAGCAACAUGUGAUUUCUACUGGCAACCUGAUUGAUCCAAUGGAAGGUGUGGAAAUGGAGGAAAUUGAUGAGUACAAUACUGUUGAUGAAGGAAUUACGUUGAUUAAUAACGUGAAAGCUAAUAACGAGGGGAGUUCAAAGGAUGCAAAACAGUUGCAGGACAAUCACUAAAUCCAGAGGAAGCGGAAUGCAUAGCCUUACUGGAAGAUGUUAAGUGGGCUAAAGCUGGAGGUUAUAAAAAAAUUUGCUCAAGGAAUGAUGCAAAGAAUGCCAUUACUUUUCUCAAUAAAAGUGGGAACCAGAUUAGUUGGUCCAACAAUUCUAUUUUAGAAGAUUGUCUUUUUAUUCUUAGAGAUUUAAGCUUUGUUAAAAUUGAGUACGUUAAUAGGAAUUUUAAUGGUUGGGCUGAUAAAACAGCUAAAAACAGUAGAAGAUACAAUGUAACAGGUGUUUGUUUGGACAAUUAUCCUCCAUUCUUCCUAAAUCAGUUGUAAUCUUUCCCUUCAUCAAUAUAUCUUCCUUUCCUAGCAAAAAAAAAAAAAAAAAAAAAAAA